UACGAAGGGUGCAAGCGUUAAUCGGAAUUACUGGGCGUAAAGCGUGCGUAGGUGGUCUUUUAAGUCCGUUGUGAAAGCCCUGGGCUCAACCUGGGAAUGGCAGUGGAUACUGGAAGGCUGGAGUACGGUAGAGGAGGGUGGAAUUCCGGGUGUAGCGGUGGAAUGCGUAGAGAUCCGGAAGAACACCGGUGGCGAAGGCGGCCUGCUGGGCAGUAGCUGACGCUGAUGCGCGACAGCGUGGGGAGCAAACAGG
rnacentral:rRNA from 1 species